GAUGAAGAACGUAGCGAAAUGCGAUAAGUAGUGUGAAUUGCAGAAUUUAGUGAAUCAUCGAAUCUUUGAACGCACAUUGCGCCCUAUAGUAUUCUGUAGGGCAUGCCUGUUCGAGCGUUAUUGAGACCUCAAGCUCUGCUUGGAAAUGGGCGCUUGUCUUGCCUUGCAGACUCGCCUUAAAACCAUUGGCAGCUGAUUUACAAUGUUUGGUGCACAGUACAUGAGCCCAAGUGUUGCAAUGAGUGGCCCAAAAGUAUACAAUAGAAGCUUAACCUCGGAUCAGGUAGGGAUACCCGCUGAACUUAAGCAUAUCAUAAGCGGAGGA
rnacentral:misc_RNA from 1 species